CAGCAGCCACGGUAAUACGAAGGGUGCGAGCGUUAAUCGGAAUUACUGGGCGUAAAGCGUGCGUAGGCGGUGAGUUAAGUCUGCUGUGAAAUCCCCGGGCUCAACCUGGGAAUGGCAGUGGAUACUGGCUCGCUAGAGUGUGUCAGAGGAUGGUGGAAUUCCCGGUGUAGCGGUGAAAUGCGCAGAGAUCGGGAGGAACAUCAGUGGCGAAGGCGGCCAUCUGGGACAACACUGACGCUGAGGCACGAAAGCGUGUGGAGCAAACAGGAUUAGAUACCCCAGUAGUCCCUGUCUCUUAUAA
rnacentral:rRNA from 1 species